CUUGCUUCUCUUGAGAGCGGCGGACGGGUGAGUAAUGCCUAGGAAUCUGCCUGGUAGUGGGGGAUAACGUUCGGAAACGGACGCUAAUACCGCAUACGUCCUACGGGAGAAAGCAGGGGACCUUCGGGCCUUGCGCUAUCAGAUGAGCCUAGGUCGGAUUAGCUAGUUGGUGAGGUAAUGGCUCACCAAGGCGACGAUCCGUAACUGGUCUGAGAGGAUGAUCAGUCACACUGGAACUGAGACACGGUCCAGACUCCUACGGGAGGCAGCAGUGGGGAAUAUUGGACAAUGGGCGAAAGCCUGAUCCAGCCAUGCCGCGUGUGUGAAGAAGGUCUUCGGAUUGUAAAGCACUUUAAGUUGGGAGGAAGGGUUGUAGAUUAAUACUCUGCAAUUUUGACGUUACCGACAGAAUAAGCACCGGCUAACUCUGUGCCAGCAGCCGCGGUAAUACAGAGGGUGCAAGCGUUAAUCGGAAUUACUGGGCGUAAAGCGCGCGUAGGUGGUUUGUUAAGUUGGAUGUGAAAUCCCCGGGCUCAACCUGGGAACUGCAUUCAAAACUGACUGACUAGAGUAUGGUAGAGGGUGGUGGAAUUUCCUGUGUAGCGGUGAAAUGCGUAGAUAUAGGAAGGAACACCAGUGGCGAAGGCGACCACCUGGACUAAUACUGACACUGAGGUGCGAAAGCGUGGGGAGCAAACAGGAUUAGAUACCCUGGUAGUCCACGCCGUAAACGAUGUCAACUAGCCGUUGGAAGCCUUGAGCUUUUAG
rnacentral:rRNA from 1 species